rnacentral:rRNA from 2 species
GAUGUAGGUGGCUUUGUAAGUCAGGUGUGAAAGCCUGGGGCUCAACCCCAGAAGUGCAUUUGAUACUGCGAAGCUUGAGUGUCGGAGAGGUUACUAGAAUUGUUGGUGUAGUGGUGAAAUACGUAGAUAUCAACAGGAAUACCGGAGGCGAAGGCGGGUAACUGGCCGAACACUGACACUGAGAUCCGAAAGCGUGGGGAUCAAACA